UUUGCAUGCAAGUCAUUGCAUAAGGCAAAGGUUGGGAGGCAACAAAAGUGAUCUGAAAUAUGGCCUGUCCUUGUGCAUUUCUUGACUCAAAAGUUUGAAAUGAUGAUGAAAUGCUAAUGACACCUAACAUUUAUUAAGCCCCUGCUAGGUAUCAGAUAUGAUGAGUUUACAUGAAUUGUCUCAUUUAGUUCUUAUCAUAAAUUCUAUGAGAUUUGUAAAGUUAUCCCUACUUUUUUUCAGAUGAGAAAACUAAAGCUCAGAGAGGUCAAGCAAUUUUCCCAGGACCCCUCAGCUAGAACUGGAUAUAAAUCCAUGUCUAUCUGUGUAACUCCAGCGCCUUCCCCCUAAAUCAACCUUUUUUUCUGGAUUGCUUGUUUUUUUUUGUUUGUUUUUUUUUUUUUUUUUCUUUUCUUUUUGUUCAUUGUGGAGACCUGAAGAAGAAUCCUGUGGUCCUCGGUCCUGAAAAGGGUCUACCAGAAUUCAGAGGACCUUGUGUCUCUUGCAUCCAAAGCCAUGGCUCCUGGCAGCUGGGACCUGGGCCUCACCACAUGCACCACGUGUCGCUGGCUUCCAGGUGCCAGGGGCUUGGGCCGAGGCCACACAGUUGUCUGCACGGGGCCCGGCCCCACCGCUGGCUGUCUGGAGUGAACGCCCGGGAUGGAUCCUCUCCGUCUGCCAGGCUGUUUUCCUCAUCCAUCUGCCUUGUUGGCUUUUAAUGCAAGCAGGAAACAAAACCGAAAAAAGAGGAAAUCGGUGCUUUACAGAAAAGGGACAACAUCUUCCUUUAGCCAGUGGGGGUCUGAGGAGGGGCGCGGUGACUAAGGUUUGCGGGGCGCUAUUACCUGCUGGUGAGGGGCUACAGAAGCCAGCUGCGGAUCAGGCUGUGCCGCCGGUGCCUGCGAGUGGCUGAUGCAGAGGCCUCUUGGCGGCUGGGGGAGGCGGCACGAGCUGUCAGCUUCGAGCAGGAAGCCAACCCAGCCCGCGGCACCCGGAGGGCGAACAGUUGAAUGAAACACACACUUGGUGAGGAUGUUCGGCUUACAGAUGUCACUAAGCUGAAGCCGUGAUCGCCAGGAGCCAAUACAUCGCGGCUUGCGGCAUUGGACCCCACCGACCUGACGCUCUCUUUCCUCACCUGUGGCCGAGAAGGGAUACGGGAUAAGCCGCUUCUUGGCCGCAAGUCCUGGGAAUACUAUUUUGUGUUUGGAAACUGCCAGAGAAGCACUGAUGAGCCAGGCCAUUGCGCCGAGCACGUUGGUCGUGGCGGGCUCCCUUCCGGUGACUGAGGCGGAAGCCAGGGAGAGCACAAGUUCUGGUGGAGUGAACUUCACCCUUGCUUGGGAAUCAACAUGGGAAAUACAAUAGGGUGCAUUUGAGAAACAGUAUCCCCGAUGUCUACGAAAGGCCAGGCUGGCCGAGAGAAGCUACUUGCAGACGGCCACGGCCAGCACUCAGAAGUGGAGAACAUUGUUUGGGAGUCAAAGAGACGGGCCCCAGAGGCAGGCAGGAAGAGUAGCAGACUUAGCACCAUUGCCAGCUUCCACAGACCAGCUGAUGACCCAUGUGAGCCCAGAAUGGAAAAGACUGUCACAUGUUGGGUGCCUGGCCUGGACCUCACAUCAGGUGGUGAGUAUUGUCCGUUCUGACCGUGAAGGUCAGUGACUAAGGUAUGAGUACAGUGUGGGUCUGACAGCUCUGGCUUCUCACUAUGCCAGCCUGUGAGCCCAGAGUGGGGACUCAGAGAGACAGGACCCGGGCAAGAUCCUCCCGGCUGCCCUUGCUCACAAGGACUCAUGUAAGGCACAGGUGCCAUGAUCGUUGAGUGCCAGAACACAUUCUACGGGACCGUCAAGGCCAAUGAGCUAGACCUGAAUGUCAUGGGGCACAGCUCGAUUUGGGGCACUCAUGGGAAGCGUCAUCGUGUGAGCUCACGAUAGAGAUGACAUUUGAGUUGGCUUCUGAAUAACAAGUGAGAGUUUGCCAGAUAAGAAGUGGGAGAAGGCAUUCCAAAGAAGAGGAAACAGCAAAUUCAAAGGUGUCAGAGCAGGAAAGUGUGUCUAUGUGCGGGGUCUGGAGAAUGCCUUGUUGUGGGUUGGAGGCCACUGGACCAUGUGUCCUUGGGAGGUUGUAUUUCCUACUCCAGAUGCGCUUUUUGCAUCAUCAUGAUGACAAACGUCUGCUCCCUUGUUUUGGUCCCAGUUUCCCAGCCCCUCCCUAAGUGGAGCUGACUUGUCACUCUGUCCUCUUCCCAUAGACUCAGCCCAUCCUGAUCCUUAGCACCAAGCACUGACCUUUGUAUAUUAGAGAUGAGAAACAUCUCAUAAUAUAAAGGAACUGUGGUUUAAUUCUCGAUUCUACUUGAUCUUUCUCCCAUGAAGACUUUGGCCUGGUCCUCAUAGACUCAUGGUUAGGCCCAUAGCUAAGGGUCCUGCCUCUUUUACUGAUAUUUCUCCAAACAUUUGAGUCCUUUUUUUGGAACUGAAGCUCAGUGACUGGGGACUUAACACAUGCUAUAAAACUUCUGUGGUGCAGCUGCCUCUAAAUUGAUCCAUUAUUUGUUUAGAGGGGCUACUUUUUUCAUUAUUGCCUGAAAAAAAAAUCCUGCUUCUAAUUAUUUACGGUUUCCAAAAUUGCCUCUGUCUCCAUGUGUCGACUCUGAGGUUUUCUCUCAUUUACCACCGUGCGUACUCUGUGCUCUAAAUUAUUAGUGCUAAGCCCAUGCCUUUGUGUGCUCCACACUGUGUCAACAUUGGGGGAAAUUCUCUUUCUUUUUCCUUCUUUCUUUCUUUCUUUCUUUCUUUCUUUCUUUCUUUCUUUCUUUCUUUCCUUCCCUCUUUCUUUCUUUCUUUCUUUCUUUCUUUCUUUCUUUCUUAAGUACCUACUAUGUGCUAAGCACUGGAAAUAGAGUGGUAAGCAAGACAUAGUCGUUGACAUCACAAAAUUUAAGUUUUAGUGAAGGAAGACUGAUGAUACCCAAAUAAGUCAAUAGGAAAGCUAUUUAAAGACUUAGAUGUGCCAAGAAAAAAAAGAUCGAUGUGUUAGAAUCUGAUGGGGGGUAGAUGCAGUGGUAGUGGGAUGACCUCUCAGGGGAUGUGUCAUUUGAAAUAGAAAGCAGGGGCACCUGGGUGUCUCAGUCGGUUAAGCGUCUGACUCUGGAUUUCGGCUCAGGUCAGGAUCUCACAGUUCAUGGGACGGAGCCCUGUGCGGGGCUCUGCGCUGACAGCGUGGAGCCUGCUUGGGAUCCUCUCUCUCCCUCUGUCUCUGCCCUUCCCCAGCUCGCGUGCUCUCUCUCUCUCUCAAAGUAAAUGAAUGAAUUAAUUUAAAAAAUUAAAAGGAAAGUAAGUGAUGAAAGUAGCUGAGGGAAGCACAUUCCCAAACAGCAAGAGUGGAGGUCAUGUGACAGGGAAAAAGUUGGAGGCUUGCAAGAGGCAGUGAGGCAUGCCGUGAAACAGGAUAGUAGACAAGAGCCCAACCUUAGGGAACAAGGCAAGGGUUUUGCAUUUUUUCAAAGACACUUGUUGAACCAUGUUAUGGAGGAUCUGUUAUUUAGCCUGGAUUCAUAAAAAGUGAUUGCAAUGGAAGGUCCAGAGACUGUACUGUGAGGACAGAGGCUUCGAUGAGGAUAAGAGCCACAUUCAGAGGCAGAAGCUCCCCAUGCUUUUUGCAGUGUUCAGUGGGCUGCAGGGAGAUAGCCAAUUUCCAUCUUAAAUGUCCAUCGUCAAGUCAAACCCGUGAAACCAUGCGGAGGAUAGAAAUGGCUCCCAACCCUUUGGCCUGGUAGCAUCAUAGUCUUUCCUGGGAAGGGGUAUGUGUGCGUGUGUGUGUGUGCGCGUGCACACAUGUGGAUGUGCAGGGAGCGUGGAACGUAUGCCAGGCUGAACGCCUCAUUUUACUUUCAUUCUAAAGUUUGCAUAACACGUUGGGUUGGGUACUUUUGAGGUCUCGGCUCUGGCUAAGAAAUUAGUGAAACUGCAAACAGGGAAAAGGUAACAACAGGUCACCAAGACAAAACGCUUCCAGGACAAAGGUUUUCAACAUCUUCCGCACGUCUCUGCUGUGGCUUGCAUAAACUGUAGCUGUUUCGUUCAAAUUUUAUCUCAGAAAUAGUUUUUUGUCUAUCAAGAAGUUAUGAUUGACAACACUCGCAUGGAUUUCUUUUGUAUCGAAAGUUCAUCCACUGGCGAUAGCCCUCACUCCGAUAAAUUUGUGCCACCACAUCCACUUAAGUUAUGUGAACUAUGAGGGAAAGCUUGUCUCGCAUCUUAGUUGAACUGGACCAUUUUCUGAGCCCAUCGGAUGGCUUAGUUAUUGAAACAUUAUUAUAUGUGAAUAUUUACCUACUACGAAUCAAAAUUGUCUUAGCACAAUAGACUCUGAGGCCAAGACAGCAGCUGCCCUCCAUCACCGCUAGCCUAAAAUAUUUAAGUAGCCUCGUGUCUUUAUUAAUUAACUUCUUACAUUUUACAAACACCAGAGUGCUCAUGAAGAACUAUUACUAUGGAAAAAAAGUGGAGGGAAAUUCAGCCCACUUGAAAGGUAAAAGAAAAGGUGAGAGGACGGGGGUACAGGAGUCACAGGAAAGUCAGAAGAGUGCUCCGUCCAGGACAGCCUCCUCUGGUGUCAACAUCCCUGUCUUCCUGCCUGUGUUUGACAGUUGUCACAAUGUCAACAAGUCUUACAUGUGUACAACGUAGACUCACCACAUACGUAUAUAUACACAGAGGCGUACGUAUACAUAUGUGGACAUGUGUAUGGAACUGUUUAUUACAAAUGCAUUUCACAAACAUUCACUCAGUGAGGUAACUGACAGACAUUUGAACUCUACAAAGUUCAACACUACUGCAGGCAGUAGGAAUACAGCGGUGAACAAAACAGAUAGAACCUCUGCCCUUGGAGAGUGUCCACCAAUUUUAAGAAUUCUGGGGUAUUCUGUCAGAUGCUGAUACCAUGGUUUGCUUAACCAUUGUCCUGUUUUGGGACUUUCCAGUUGUUUCUCAUGAUUAUAGAAGGUCCCUGACCUAUGAUGGUUCUGGCUUACAAUUUUUUGACUUUAUGAUGGUGAGAAAGAGAUACCCAUUCAGUAGAAACUGAAUCUUUGAAUCUUGCAUUUUGAUGUUUUCCUGGGCUAGCAAUAUGCAGUGGGACCCUCCCAUGUGACUCUGGGUAGCGGCCGCAGUCCCCAGACGGCCACAUGAUCACAAGGGUGAGCAGCCGAUAGGCUGGCAACCACUCUAUAUCCAUAUGGCCGUUCUGUUUUCAUACUUUGAGUAUAAUAGUCAAUCGAUUGCAUGUGAUAUUCCACACUUUAUUAUAUAAAAUGGGCUUUGUGUUAAGUGAUUUUGCCCAACUAUAGCUAAUGUAAGUGUUCUGAGCACGUUUAAGGUCAGUGAGGCUAAACUGUGAAGUUUGGUGUUAGAUGUGUGUUAGAUGCAUUUUUGACUCGUGAUAGGCGUAACUACGUUGUAAAUCCAGGAAGAUCUGUAUUAAAAAAUGCUACACUAAAUGUCCUUGUACAUUUUUGUCCUUGUGUGCGAGCAUGUAUCUGUAGGACAGAUUUUUUUAUUUAAGGCUUUUCCAAAAAGUUAUUCCCCUAGUUAAAAGCUUUGAAAUGAGUUUCAUUUUGAAUUAUGUAUUUUGAUUAAUGCCAUUUUGCCAAAUCCAAAAAAUCAUUUUAAUAAAAGGUUAGGGGGAAACUCCUCUGGGGUUCUUUUUCUAUUUCCCUGCCUUUUGCCUUAUGCCAAAAUUUUUUUUAAUGAUUUCCUUGCCAGUAACUGCUUUUGGCAUAGCCAGAAGCUGAACAUCAUGAGGUUGGUGGGGAGGGUGGGGGCAGACGGAAAGGAGCAUUUGGCUCCAAAUUGCAUAAUUUGGCAAGUUUUCCUACUACGGUAGUCAUGUUUUUGCAAGAUUCAGUGAACUUUCUGAAGGCUGACUCUCCAGAAAAACCAUGACAGCAUGGCUGCCUCUCUCCCUCUUGACUCAUCCCUCUCACCCUUGUCGUUCAGGGCUCUGUGGAGGCUGUUGAGUUUCUUGGGCUGUUCUCUUGCCCGGUGGAAUAGGCCUUACUUCUUCUUUAUUCCAUUUUGCAUUUGAACUCUUUCCCCUUCUAGUAGUUACCUCAGACACGAUAACAGAAGGCCAGUGAGGGUUUUCCUUGCCAAACUCCACUGGUGUAUGUGUGUAGGUAGAGACCAUGAAGAUGUGCUUCCAGGAUGACUGAUGAAACGGCAUUCCAUCUUUGUCGCCAGAAUAGUCAUCGACGAUGGCAAAUACCCUUUUUUUUCUGAGCGUAGGUGACACACAAUGUUACAUUGGUUCCAAGUGUACACAUAGUGAUUUGACAAGUGUAUACAUUGUGCUGUGCUCAUCACAAGUGUAGCUCCCAUCUGUCACCAUACGUCACUUUUAUAGUAUCAAUGACGAUAUUCCUUAACGGUAGCGAAUAGUCUUGAUCACUUACUCGGUGCCAGGCACUGUGCUAAGCCCUCGUCUUAUUUGUUUCAUUCCCUUAAUAACCCUACAAGGUAGGAACCAUCCUCCCCAUUUUCCAUGUGGGAGAAUAAGAAAUGAGAAAGUAACUGCUCAAAGCGCACCAAACUAAAAGUUGGAAGAUCUGGAAUUUGAAGCCAGGUCUUUUGCAUUCUGGAGUCCCGCAGUCCUGACCUCCGUGCAUCCUGCCUCAUUUCCUGUCUAGGCUAUGUCUAAGGGUAUCUCGUGUCGAAGGAGCUUUUCUCUACUCGUCCUCUGGCACGCAUCAAAGCCACAGCCGUAGGCCACAGCUGAGCUGCUGAGAAACACGAUAAAGGCGUUUAUGAUGCUGCUGCAGAUGACUAUGACCUCAUCUUCCAAGACAGACCUACUAUGUGGGAGAGAGGAGGCAGAGUUAGACUCAGAGACCUAAGUUACAGUGUUAGCUCUAUCACUUAUCGAGCACUGUGACUUUUCUCGGUUUCUUAACUUGGAAAAUAGUGACCAUCACUCCCUUCUAAGUUGCAGUGAGGACGAGACAGUAUGUGUACAAGCCCCCACUAAAGGAUUCUUUUAUUGUUAUUUGUUAUUAUCGCCCCAAGUGAGGCAAAGACAAUCCAAGUCUCCAUGAGAAGAAAGAACAUAAGUCUGAGUUCCUGACUGAGGAGAGGCAAAAGUUUCCGGGAACUGCAACAUGGAUGAACCUUGAAAACAUUACACUAAGUGAAAGAAGGCAAUCGCAAAGAUCACAUACUGGAUGAUAACAUUCAUAUGGAGUAUGUGGAACAGGCAAAUCUAUACAGACAGAAAGUGGUUCGUUGGUGGCCCAGGGCUGGGAGGCCUAGGGGGACUGGAGUGUGACCACUGAUGGGUAUGGAGUUCCUUUUUGCGGUGGUACGCAUAUUCCAGUGUCGAUUCUGGUGAUGGUUUUGUAACUCUGUGAACAUACUGAGAACCACCGAAUUGCAUACUUCGAGUGGGUGAAUUGUAAAGUAUUGGAAUUACAUCUCAAUAAAGAUUAUCUGUCAAAAAUAAGUUUCUGAUGUCUGCUUUCUUAAAAGAAAUUGAGAGAUACUCAGUCUAUCAUGUUUAUAUUGAAUGCAUUUCUCAAAAACAGCACUGCCUCUUUCUUAGCCAGGGCAUUUAGACAAAAGUAUCAAAAUAUCAGUACAGAGUAAAACACAAAAAAAGCUAAAGGCAAAACAAAGUCAGGAAGAGAAGCUAGACGGAAAAAAGUAGAUAGCUGGAAAGGAGACUGCCUAUAAGUCUACACUGAACCUGACUCAUGCUCCACGGGGCAGGCAUUUUGAGCUGUUUGUUAUACAAUGAUGGAUCUGCAGUGAUUCAUCCACACACUCUUGUGGGGAAUCCAUGUGACAAAAUGGCCUCCAUGAAAAAGCAACUUGACCUUGCCCCACAGGCCACACAGAUGUGCGUGUGGCAAGAUGCCAAGGUAAGAUGAGGACAGUUUGGUCCUUGUAGAAUCAAACCAUGGUGGCUGAAUCUCAAUUAACUGACCUAUCCACCCAGGUCCAGCUGUAGGUGUUUGGUCCGCGGCAGGUGUGAUACCUGCCAAAAUAUGACAAGAUGCAGAAGAAGUAACUUGGCCAUAAAUGUCUUGUCUCUUGUCUCUGAAAAAAAAAUACCUAUAAAAGUGCCUGGCUCAUGUUAAGACCUUAAUGGAUGUUUGCGGAAAGGAUUGUUGUUGGAAUGAACCCAGCCAUAAAAGAUGUUGUCUCCCUCCCUGACUCUUAGGUAGUGAAUCCAGGGGGAAAAAAAGAGAUGAACCACUUUUUGACAUAAUAAUUUUUAUUUUUGGUUGUACCUUCCAGUUUUUAGAGUGCCCCUACCUACGUCAAUAGCUCAUUUGAUUUUGAACAGCACUAUAGAGGUAUAGAAUGCUAGAUGGCAUUUAGAGAUGCCUGUCCUGUUCAAGAUCAUAUGGCCAGGGUCAAGACCCAAGUUCAGUGUCUUCCCAGGUCAUGUGAGUUGAAAUUACCUGGCCUAGUUAGUCAAUUUAAUUUUUCAAUGUUUCAAGGGAUUAUAUCGAAGCUACCCAGCAUCACAGAGUGUGCUGUUGGUAAAAACAUCACAUAUGGCAACGAUGGGGGUUGACCAACCAAGUACCACUUCUUGAGGCCAAAAUGAAGGAGGGAGCUAUGACUAAGAGCACAGAAUCCAGUGCCUGUGGGGGAAGGGGCUUAACAAGGUGGUUAAGAGCGUAGGUCCAGAACCACAUUCUGGUUGCGGUCCAGUUUUGUCAUCUGUUAAAUUGGGACAGUGUCACCAUGAUGUAAGAUUGUUGCCAGGGUUGAGCGUGCUGUGUGCUGAGUAUUUAGCAGAGUGCUUAGCACAUAGUUAGCGCUCCUUAAAAGCUAUGUUUUAAACACUCAUUUCUUUUUUCUAUUUCUUUUUCUUCCAUCCUCUCAUUGCCAUCCUCUUCACUGUCAUUUGCUCAGGAAAGUACAGGGCUGUCUCAUAACAAUUGAGAAUUUGGAUGUCUUGUGAGGAGGCACAGACAUAUGGAUGGGAUUCAGGGUAUGGCUGUGGUCUGCCCUCUCCACAGGCUGGACAAGGUUGGAACUCAGAGGUCCACACAGGGCAGCAAGCAUAGGCAGGGAUGUGGUGAAAGUGGGGGUCCGGUGGGGAAGGCUGCGGCAAUAGGCACCUGUCUGGUUUCAAUGCUGCAGUCGAAGCAGCCAGGUACAGGACUUGCACCGAGAGGCCGAGGCAUCGGUUCAGAAUCGGAUGGGUGAGUGGGCCGUCCAACCUCCCACCACACACUGCGGGUGCCCCGGCUCAGGGCCUUUACCCCCAACCCCUGGGCAGACUCGGGCUAGCAGACAGGUGCUUUUCCCUCCAGGCAACGCGCUGGCCUUCAGAAGCUGGAGCUUGCAGCAGAGGGUUCUAAAGGGAAUCUCAUUAGCUCUCAAAUGCCCAACUUUAUUCUUUUUUUUUUUCCCCAUAUAUGAAAUUUAUUGUCAAAUUGGUUUCCAUACAACACCCAGUGCUCAUCCGUGCCUUCCUCAAUACCCAUCACCCACCCUCCCCUCCCUCCCACCCCCCAUCAACCCUCAGUUUGUCCUCAGUUUUUAAGAGUCUCUUACGCUUUGGCUCUCUCCCACUCCAACUUUAUUCUUGAUGUUCCUAAGACAUGAGGGACAAAUGCAAACUAGUAAGAGGGGCGAGUUAAAAAUCACGUGAUGUCUCAACCACUGCAGGAUUCUCCAACCCAUUAAUCAACUCUGUCAAUCGCCAGAGACUCAUUUGACCCCAUGAACCCAUCACCGCAGGUGCACGCGACCUUCUCUGCACGGCCCAACAUCCAGUCUCCUGUCUUCUACUAAAUCUUUUGGUGUACACCUGUGCAACAAGGUAAAGGACAUCGUCUGCGGUUUGUCCAGUUUAAACCAGUACCUGCGAGAAGUGAGUGUUGAUUUCAAAUCUGGGCCUUGCAGGAAAUGCUAAUGAUGUGCUACGGGGAGAGUGGGAAAUACCACUGGCUAGAUGAAGAGUGCAGAAAAUGCCGCUCAGUGGAACGGGCUACUGUAUCAGGAUUUAAGAGACUUGAAUUCCAGACUUUGCUCUACUGCUGACUUCCUAUAACCUGGGUUGGCCCGGUGUUGUUGACUGUUAAAUAUGGUUAACCCUUGAGCUCUGUCUUUGACUGUCACAAUGAUCUGAUGAGAUAAUAUGGGGAGAAGAAUUUUGGAAACUAAAAACUGCUUAUCCUUUCAUUCAAAAGUAUUUGAUAGCAGCAUAUUGGAUACUAACUCAAUGUAGCAGGUCCGGAGGGGGCAAACAGACCCGGGGUCUCUGUUGCUUACAGGAUGAGGUUAAGCCUCAACUGCUAUGAGAGAAGGAAGCAGAGUGGGGAGGACGGGGUGGAGGAGCAGGGCCCGGAGCCUGGGAGGGAAACUGACAAGGCAGUUCCCUCAGGUUCAACGGGCAAAGAUUAUGCCCAUGGAACCAGACUUCAGGGAUCAGCAACCACAGCCGGGAACCUGGAAAACAGAGGCGCCGAGGUUCAGAAAGGGGGCUGCCGAAGCCCUGGUCAGGAACCCCAGCAGGCCCGGGGUGCAGGCAGCCCAGGGGAAGAACAGGCCUUUUCAGCGUCACCCCCUCUUACCAGACC